rnacentral:tRNA from 1 species
AGCCCUGUAGCCCAACCGGAAGAGGCACCAGAUUUAGGAUCUGGAUAGUGUCAGUUCGAAUCUGACCAGGGUUA